AAGCACGUUAUGUUAAAAAUCAAUCUAAUAAAACUCAUUAAUAAAAAUAGCAAUUAAGUAUUUCUUUUCUUGAAAUACUAUACUCCACAAAUUUUAUCUCUUGUUAUUUCCGCCUCUCUCUCACACCAGAAAACCCUUUUCCUCUUUCUGCCUUUCUGUAGUCUUGCAUCUCUCUCACACUCACUCGUCGUGCCGCACAGAUCUUCCCACCUCGCCUUCUCCGGCAACAGCUGUAGUACGGUACGUCUCCUUUUUUCAUCGCCCCAUCCGCCUCGCCUCUCACUCGCCGCCACAGUCUUCUCCGCUAACAGCCGCAAAAGGGGAAAUCAGCAGUAGCGUUGCAAGCGUCGAGAAGUUUGCCUCUACAGUUGCAUCAGUCCGCCUCUCUGACCUCCGCGGCUCUGUGUGAGUGCCUUCGUCCGACUUUCACAACUACAGCCAAAUAACUCAAUUAGGGCUUCGAAUUUCCCCUUUUUUCUUCUCGUUCUUCUCUAUCCACGAUUUUUGAAUUUUGUUGUAUUUAUCUGCUAUUCAAAUUGUACCUAUUUAUGGGUAGGUGAAUCUUGAAUUUUUCUUUUUUUAUUUUGUUUAAAAGGAGGUUUCUUGGUAUAAUCCGAUUUGAAAACUUAAGUUCGUUCAAAGUUUUGGAGAAAGGUUGAAUGGUUUUCUUUUGCAGGGAUGAUGGGUUUGGUUUCUGAAAAAUUGAGAAAAUUUUGAAGAACUCUCGACAACUGCCACAGUUUUUGUAAGCGUUUCAGUUUUUACAACUAUCAUAUUCAAUUUUAGCGGAAAAAAUUUGUGUUUUAGCGGGAAUAAGUUACCGUUUAACUGGUCUUUUAUAUAGUAUAUAGAUUCCCAUGCCAUCCGGGCAUCCCCAAUUCAGUCCCCCCAUUCCCAAAAAUUGAAAAUUGAAACCUUCCCUACCGAAUAAUCCAACGCACCGCCGCCUCGUGGCCCCACUCCGAAGCCUAGGCCAGUCGGCGUAGCCGCGCAGCGCCAACCUCGCCCAGUCCAGAUUCUCCAGUCUCCACCCUCGCGGGUUGCGGCCUCGCCAAUCCACCAAAUUUUGGCGAGAGAGAAAGAAGAAGAAGAGUGAGAAAACAAAAUGAGUUCAUCAAUGGAAGUCGCGAAUACAGCAGCAAAAGCGGCGUACCGAAGUCUUCUUCGAGCGGUGAGGAAACACGUCGGGAAAGAAAACCACAAAUCCCAUUUCACGGAUUUCAUCAAACACGAAUUCAGAAGAAAUCUUAGCUCCCAAGACCCACAAAAUCUGAAGCUCGCGCAGGAUUACACUGUCUAUCUCAACAGCGUACACCAUCAGAAGGAACUGCUCUUCUCGUACAAUAUCGCAGUGGAUAGGUCUGCUGAGAUGAAAAAAGUACUAGGAAAAUCUGCUGCCAGUGUAGGUCUCCAGCUGCCCGAAGUUUAUCAGGCUUAAUAGAUGCAACCGAAUCCGCAGAGCAAGCAAACGGCAUUGAGCGGCGGAGUGCUAGAAUUCGAAUUGUGUGAUUUGUUUUCAUUAUUAAUCCUUUUAGCUCGAUGUUUGAUAAGUCUUUCAUUCACUAGCCCGAAUGAACUACUUAAAUGUUACUCCCUCGGUCCUAAUUUAAUAGGCCACAUUUCAUUAAUUGAAUGUUAUAUUUCAAUA